GAACGUGCAGAGCAUUUCAGAGCUUGUGAUGGUUUACACAUCAGCCCUGCGCAAACUACGCAUCAUACCUACAGCAGUGACAACCAUCUUGCAGCUGAAUCAGCUCUGUGGUGAGGAGAGCUGUGGUCUGUCUGCAGUGCUACCAGAAAAGAUACGAACACAACAGUGAAAUGAAAGAGCAGCUCAUCAAGAGCACUUUGGGUUCCUGGAGAAACUUCCCACAGUGCAAAAGAGUUUCUAAGCUGUCCUGAAGAAAAAGACAAACUUGGGAGGAGCAGAAGAUCCCUUGCUUGCUGUUGGUCUUCAUUGUCAGAGCCAGUUUCUGGAAGAUCUGAAAUCUCUUCUGACAGACCCACUGGGAUCUCUGGUGGCUUGGCUGCUGAGUAGGCACAUUGAAGAAAAUCAAAAACUAUGUCUUCUGUUUAGGCCUAAAAUAUGGUUGUGUGCUGUGUCCAACCACCAGCUCUCCCGGAAAGUUCCUCUUCAGAGGAGAGACCAUUGAAGCCAAGGAGUGGGAAAUGUGCUGGAGAGGAUGUGCUCCCUUGGGCAAAGCAAAGCAGUGUGCAGCUACUUUUCUGUUUCCUCCUUGUUGGACCCUCUCUGCUGUGGGCAAGACUAGGACGAGAGUUCUGUCUCCCUCUUUUAUGGCAUGGAUGGACCUCAUUGGGAUGUUCUUUUUCUCCUGCUGAAAACUUCUGCCAGCACCAGGGCAUAGACAGUCGUCUGCAUGACUGUCAGUGCUGUGAUGGAUUGGAGCAGGCUGGGAAGGCAGCAAGAGGGUGGGG
ensembl:lncRNA